AGGACAACUGGGAUUGCCUUAGUAACGGCGAGUGAAGCGGCAAUAGCUCAAAUUUGAAAGCUGGCCCCUUUGGGGUCCGCAUUGUAAUUUGUAGAGGAUGAUUCGGCGAGGGCUCCCGUCUAAGUCCCCUGGAACGGGGCGUCAUAGAGGGUGAGAAUCCCGUAUGUGAUGGGUUGCCUUAGCCAUGUGAAUCUCCUUCGACGAGUCGAGUUGUUUGGGAAUGCAGCUCUAAAUGGGAGGUAAAUUUCUUCUAAAGCUAAAUACCGGCCAGAGACCGAUAGCGCACAAGUAGAGUGAUCGAAAGAUGAAAAGCACUUUGGAAAGAGAGUUAAAAAGUACGUGAAAUUGUUGAAAGGGAAGCGCUUGCAGCCAGACUUGUCCGCAGUUGCUCAGCCGGUCUCCUGACCGGCGUACUCUUCUGCGGCCAGGCCAGCAUCAGUUCGGGCGGUCGGAUAAAGGCCCCGGGAAUGUAGCUCCUCUCGGGGAGUGUUAUAGCCCGGGGUGGAAUGCGGCCAGCCUGGACUGAGGAUCUCGCUUCGGCUAGGAUGCUGGCGUAAUGGCUGUAAGCGGCCCGUCUUGAAACACGGACCAAGGAGUCUAACAUCUAUGCGAGUGUUUGGGUGUCAAACCCAUACGCGUAAUGAAAGUGAACGGAGGUGGGAACCCUCACGGGUGCACCAUCGACCGAUCCUGAUGUCUUCGGAUGGAUUUGAGUAAGAGCAUAGCUGUUGGGACCCGAAAGAUGGUGAACUAUGCCUGAAUAGGGUGAAGCCAGAGGAAACUCUGGUGGAGGCUCGCAGCGGUUCUGACGUGCAAAUCGAUCGUCAAAUUUGGGUAUAGGGGCGAAAGACUAAUCGAACCAUCUAGUAGCUGGUUCCUGCCGAAGUUUCCCCUCCAGGAAU
rnacentral:rRNA from 1 species